CCCUUAGCUAGGAUUGUCUGCAUAACUUGAUUACUAACCUACAACUAUUAACCCUAAUUAAAACACUCUUCUCUAUCAUCUCUCGAUUUAAGACUCAUUAAGCUCUCAUCUUUAGAAUUCUCUUCUCAUCUAUCUCUCUUUCCUCUUCAAUUUAAAAAAAAUAAAAAUAAAAAUAUAUAAAAAUAACUGAAAAUUCUUAAAUUUUUUUGGAAAAGAAAAUCUGGUCGUCUAGUGAGAAUUGAUUCAAAUCCUAUCCUAAUCCAAAAAAAUUUUGAGUCCACAAUGAGUGAAAUCAAUCAACCUCAAGUC
rnacentral:lncRNA from 1 species